GAAUCUUUAGUUUAAUUUUGAAUGAUUUAUUUACAAUAAAUAGGUAUAGAGGUUUU
rnacentral:tRNA from 1 species